UAGGGAAUCUUCCACAAUGGACGCAAGUCUGAUGGAGCAACGCCGCGUGAGUGAAGAAGGUUUUCGGAUCGUAAAGCUCUGUUGUUGGUGAAGAAGGAUAGAGGCAGUAACUGGUCUUUAUUUGACGGUAAUCAACCAGAAAGUCACGGCUAACUACGUGCCAGCAGCCGCGGUAAUACGUAGGUGGCAAGCGUUGUCCGGAUUUAUUAGGCGUAAAGCGAGCGCAGGCGGAAUGAUAAGUCUGAUGUGAAAGCCCACGGCUCAACCGUGGAACUGCAUCGGAAACUGUCAUUCUUGAGUGCAGAAGAGGAGAGUGGAAUUCCAUGUGUAGCGGUGGAAUGCGUAGAUAUAUGGAAGAACACCAGUGGCGAAGGCGGCUCUCUGGUCUGCAACUGACGCUGAGGCUCGAAAGCAUGGGUAGCGAACAGG
rnacentral:rRNA from 2 species